GUAGGUGGCAAGCGUUGUCCGGAAUUAUUGGGCGUAAAGCGCGCGCAGGCGGUUCUUUAAGUCUGAUGUGAAAGCCCACGGCUCAACCGUGGAGGGUCAUUGGAAACUGGAGAACUUGAGUACAGAAGAGGAAAGCGGAAUUCCACGUGUAGCGGUGAAAUGCGUAGAGAUGUGGAGGAACACCAGUGGCGAAGGCGGCUUUUCUGGUCUGUAACUGACGCUGAGGCGCGAAAGCGUGGGGAGCAAACAGGGAUUAGAUACCCUGGUAGUCCACGCCGUAAACGAUGAGUGCUAAGUGUUAGGGGGUUUCCGCCCCCUUAGUGCUGCAGCUAACGCAUUAAGCACUCCGCCUGGGGAGUACGGCCGCAAGGCUGA
rnacentral:rRNA from 1 species